rnacentral:rRNA from 1 species
UAGGGAAUCUUCGGCAAUGGACGGAAGUCUGACCGAGCAACGCCGCGUGAGUGAAGAAGGUUUUCGGAUCGUAAAGCUCUGUUGUAAGAGAAGAACGAGUGUGAGAGUGGAAAGCUCACACUGUGACGGUAUCUUACCAGAAAGGGACGGCUAACUACGUGCCAGCAGCCGCGGUAAUACGUAGGUCUCGAGCGUUGUCCGGAUUUAUUGGGCGUAAAGCGAGCGCAGGCGGUUAGAUAAGUCUGAAGUUAAAGGCUGUGGCUUAACCAUAGUACGCUUUGGAAACUGUUUAACUUGAGUGCAAGAGGGGAGAGUGGAAUUCCAUGUGUAGCGGUGAAAUGCGUAGAUAUAUGGAGGAACACCGGUGGCGAAAGCGGCUCUCUGGCUUGUAACUGACGCUGAGGCUCGAAAGCGUGGGGAGCAAACAGGAUUAGAUACCCUGGUAGUCCACGCCGUAAACGAUGAGUGCUAGGUGUUAGACCCUUUCCGGGGUUUAGUGCCGCAGCUAACGCAUUAAGCACUCCGCCUGGGGAGUACGACCGCAAGGUUG